GGGUAUAUAGCUCAGUGGUAGAGUGUGUACCGGGCAUGCACAGGGUCCUGGGUUCAAUCCCCAGUACCUCCA
rnacentral:tRNA from 1 species